UGGGGAAUUUUGGACAAUGGGCGAAAGCCUGAUCCAGCAAUGCCGCGUGUGUGAAGAAGGCCUUCGGGUUGUAAAGCACUUUUGUCCGGAAAGAAAUCCUUGGCUCUAAUACAGUCGGGGGAUGACGGUACCGGAAGAAUAAGCACCGGCUAACUACGUGCCAGCAGCCGCGGUAAUACGUAGGGUGCAAGCGUUAAUCGGAAUUACUGGGCGUAAAGCGUGCGCAGGCGGUUUGCUAAGACCGAUGUGAAAUCCCCGGGCUCAACCUGGGAACUGCAUUGGUGACUGGCAGGCUAGAGUAUGGCAGAGGGGGGUAGAAUUCCACGUGUAGCAGUGAAAUGCGUAGAGAUGUGGAGGAAUACCGAUGGCGAAGGCAGCCCCCUGGGCCAAUACUGACGCUCAUGCACGAAAGCGUGGGGAGCAAACAGGAUUAGAUACCCUGGUAGUCCACGCCCUAAACGAUGUCAACUAGUUGUUGGGGAUUCAUUUCCUUAGUAACGUAGCUAACGCGUGAAGUUGACCGCCUGGGGAGUACGGUCGCAAGAUUAAAACUUUAAAUGAAUUGAC
rnacentral:rRNA from 1 species